CAUGUUCAACUUUCUUUCUUUUCUUCAAAUUGUUUUGGUCAUCUUCUACAAUAUGUGCUCCAUUAAUUGUAGAAUUCCCUUUUGACCUUCUCUCGGCAGCUUUAUUGUCCUCUUCAAUACGCAGUCGGACAAUAAGAUCUUCGACAGUCAUCUCCUUGCGUUUAUGCUUUAAGUAGUUUUUGAAGUCUUUCCACAAAGGUGGUAGCU
rnacentral:lncRNA from 1 species